rnacentral:rRNA from 1 species
CCUACGGGAGGCAGCAGUGGGGAAUAUUGCACAAUGGGGGAAACCCUGAUGCAGCGACGCCGCGUGAGUGAAGAAGUAAUUCGUUAUGUAAAGCUCUAUCAGCAGGGAAGAAAAUGACGGUACCUGAGUAAGAAGCCCCGGCUAACUACGUGCCAGCAGCCGCGGUAAUACGUAGGGGGCAAGCGUUAUCCGGAUUUACUGGGUGGAAAGGGAGCGUAGACGGCAGUGCAAGUCUGGAGUGAAAGGCGGGGGCUCAACCCCCGGACUGCUCUGGAAACUGUAAGGCUGGAGUGCAGGAGAGGUAAGUGGAAUUUCUAGUGUAGCGGUGAAAUGCGUAGAUAUUAGGAGGAACACCAGUGGCGAAGGCGGCUUACUGGACUGUAACUGACGUUGAGGCUCGAAAGCGUGGGGAGCAAACAGGAUUAGAUACCCCUGUAGUC